UCUGGUAAUCAUAGCAGAGGGGUUCCACUCGUUCCCAUCCCGAACACGACCGUUAAGCCCUCUCACGCUGAUGGUACUUGGACCGCAGGGUCCUGGGAGAGUAAGUAAUUGCCAGGC
rnacentral:rRNA from 1 species